AGAGUUUGAUCAUGGCUCAGAUUGAACGCUGGCGGCGUGCCUAACACAUGCAAGUCGAGCGGUAACAGGUGUAGCAAUACAUGCUGACGAGCGGCGAACGGGUGAGUAAUGCUUUGGAAUCUUCCCAGUAGUGGGGAAUAACCAGUCGAAAGAUUGGCUAAUACCGCAUACGUCUGUAAAGGGAAAGCGGGGGCUCGUAAGACCUCGCGCUAUUGGAUGAGCCAAAGUCGGAUUAGCUAGUUGGUGGGGUAAUGGCCUACCAAGGCGACAAUCCGUAGCUGGUCUGAGAGGACGACCAGCCACACCGGAACUGAGACACGGUCCGGACUCCUACGGGAGGCAGCAGUGGGGAAUAUUGGACAAUGGGGGAAACCCUGAUCCAGCGACGCCGCGUGUGUGAAGAAGGCCUGCGGGUUGUAAAGCACUUUUAGUGGGGACAAAAAGCUACGGAUUAAUACUCUGUGGUCUUGAUUUAACCCAAAGAAAAAGCACCGGCUAACUCUGUGCCAGCAGCCGCGGUAAUACAGAGGGUGCGAGCGUUAAUCGGAAUUACUGGGCGUAAAGCGCGCGUAGACGGUUUUGUAAGUCAGAUGUGAAAUCCCUGGGCUCAACCUGGGAACUGCAUUUGAGACUGCAUGGCUAGAGUAUGGAAGAGGGAAGUGGAAUUUCCGGUGUAGCGGUGAAAUGCGUAGAUAUCGGAAGGAACACCAGUGGCGAAAGCGACUUCCUGGUCCAAUACUGACGUUCAUGUGCGAAAGCGUGGGGAGCAAACAGGAUUAGAUACCCUAGUAGUCC
rnacentral:rRNA from 1 species